UACAGAGGUCCCAAGCGUUGUUCGGAUUCACUGGGCGUAAAGGGUGCGUAGGCGGUCGGGUAAGUCUGACGUGAAAUCUCCAAGCUCAACUUGGAAAUGGCGUCGGAUACUAUUCGGCUCGAGGAAUGGAGGGGAGACUGGAAUUCUCGGUGUAGCAGUGAAAUGCGUAGAUAUCGAGAGGAACACCAGUGGCGAAGGCGACUACCUGGCCUGUUCUUGACGCUGAGGCGCGAAAGCCAGGGGAGCAAACGGG
rnacentral:rRNA from 1 species